UCUUUCAGGGUCCGAGUUGUAAUUUGUAGAGGAUGUUUCGGGCACGGUUACGGUUUAAAUUUCUUGGAACAGAAUGUCAAAGAGGGUGAGAGUCCCGUCUUGAACCGAUUACUUCGUCCAUGUGAAACUCCUUCGACGAGUCGAGUUGUUUGGGAAUGCAGCUCAAAAUGGGUGGUAAAUUUCAUCUAAAGCUAAAUAUUGGCCAGAGACCGAUAGCGCACAAGUAGAGUGAUCGAAAGAUGAAAAGCACUUUGAAAAGAGAGUUAAACAGUAUGUGAAAUUGUUGAAAGGGAAGCGCUUGCAAUCAGACUUGAGCUUAACGGUUCCCCCUUCGUUCUCGAUGGGUUAUUCCGUUUUGUCCAGGCCAACAUCAGUUCGGGUGGUUAGUUAAAGACUUUAGGAAUGUAUCUACCCUCCGGGGUCGACUUAUAGCCUAGAGUGUCAUGUAGCCUACCUGGACUGAGGAACGCGCUUCGGCUCGGAUGUUGGCGUAAUGGUUGUAAGCGACCCGUCUUGAAACACGGACCAAGGAGUCUAACAUCUAUGCGAGUUUUAGAGUUUCAAACUCUGAGGCGUAAUGAAAGUGAACGGAGGUAAGAAGCCUUUAGGCUGCAUUAUCGACCGAUCUUGAUGUCUUCGGAUGGAUUUGAGUAAGAGCAUAGCUGUUGGGACCCGAAAGAUGGUGAACUAUGCCUGAAUAGGGUGAAGCCAGAGGAAACUCUGGUGGAGGCUCGCAGCGGUUCUGACGUGCAAAUCGAUCGUCAAAUUUGGGUAUAGGGGC
rnacentral:rRNA from 1 species